CACCGUACAUGACAAAAACGAUUCACAUGAUACUCUGUGUUGUCCUAUACCAUGUCGGCUCGUGUUCCAAAGAAAGGUGUGUCCUAACAAAAUCGAAAGUCAGAACGUCGAAACUCCCUCUUCCUUGCUUCAUUUCUCUGUUAUCCAACACCAGUCGUCGUCAUCCACAGUUCACAAGGCCGAACAUACACUACAAGAAUCGAAGGUGCGUGCUAGCUUGUUCUCUUUCUGAAGCUGGUCAAGCAUGGGAAACAAACCCACGAAGCAAGAAAGAGAAGACGUGUUUCCGUUGGCCCAGGACAGGCAAGAGAUUCUCUUGAAAGUUGUGCCUCCAUUGGACCAUGCUUAUCUCCGGUGGCUUGCUCGUGAUCUUGAGAGGGUUCAUGGCUUUACUCCAGGAAAUUGCCGGGCAGUGACGCCACCAGAUCAUUAUAUUGAAUAUAUGCGAUUGCAAGGGUGGCUGGAUGUGAACUUGGAUGAUCCUGAUCUGGGUCAUUUGUUUCCAGGUAAAUAGUCAUGUAAUCAAGGCAGGGGGUGAUCCUCUCACAAAGUGUAUUUAGGGGAAUGGAAUUUGCUGAGAAAUUAUCAAAUUAUUAUACGUUUUGCUGUAAAUGCAUUGUAAGAACUUCGGAUAAUUUGUAAUAUCAGAAAUCCCCAAUGGGACAAGAAAUUUUUCAGACAAUCAGAUAUGCCGUCCUGGUAGAGCA